rnacentral:rRNA from 1 species
AUUGAACGCUGGCGGUAUGCCUUACACAUGCAAGUCGAACGGUAGGGGGAGCAAUCCCCUGAGAGUGGCGAACGGGUGAGUAAAGCAUCGGAACGUGCCCAGUUGUGGGGGAUAACUACUCGAAAGAGUGGCUAAUACCGCCUACCACCCGAGGGUGAAAGCGGGGGACCGAAAGGCCUCGCGCAGUUGGCGCGGCCGAUGUCAGAUUAGCUAGUUGGGGGGGUAAAGGCCCACCAAGGCGACGAUCUGUAGCUGGUCUGAGAGGACGACCAGCCACACUGGGACUGAGACACGGCCCAGACUCCUACGGGAGGCAGCAGUGGGGAAUUUUGGACAAUGGGCGCAAGCCUGAUCCAGCCAUGCCGCGUGCAGGAAGAAGGCCUUCGGGUUGUAAACUGCUUUUGUCAGGGAAGAAAUCCCUUGGGUUAAUACCUCGGGGGGAUGACGGUACCUGAAGAAUAAGCACCGGCUAACUACGUGCCAGCAGCCGCCGUAA